rnacentral:rRNA from 1 species
AGAGCGAACGCUGGCGGCAGGCCUAACACAUGCAAGUCGAACGGACCCUUCGGGGUUAGUGGCGGACGGGUGAGUAACACGUGGGAACGUGCCUUUAGGUUCGGAAUAGCUCCUGGAAACGGGUGGUAAUGCCGAAUGUGCCCUUCGGGGGAAAGAUUUAUCGCCUUUAGAGCGGCCCGCGUCUGAUUAGCUUGUUGGUGAGGUAAUGGCUCACCAAGGCUACGAUCAGUAGCUGGUCUGAGAGGAUGACCAGCCACAUUGGGACUGAAGACACGGCCCAAACUCCGUACGGGAGGCAG